UUAACUACAUAAAUGCUACUUACACUUUAAAUUAUAUCUCAUUUACUUUCUUAUAUUAAAAAUUAUACUAAUUAUUUUUUUACACUUACCAUGCAUGUUUCAAUACAUAAGGUCAAAAAUUUAGGUUUACAUAAAUAUUUAAAUUAAAAAAUAUCGUAUUAUUUCCACAUCUCAAUAUUUAUCUAAUUUAUAAUUCAAAAAAUAAAAUUAAAUAGAAAAGAUUUUCUAUUUUUAC
rnacentral:lncRNA from 1 species